rnacentral:lncRNA from 1 species
UUACCGUUUUCUGGUGGAUUCCGAGGUGCGAUUGAGGAGAUGGGGAAGUCGUUCGCCGGCAACGGCGGGGAGUUUAUGGCGUUAGUGCAGGAGAUGAUAAAGGCGGAGGUGCGGAGUUACAUGGCGGAGAUGCAGAGAAACAGCAAUGUUGGUGGUGGAUUUGUCGGAGGAUUCAGGGAUAUGGGAAUGAUUCCGAUGAGUCAAAUUGGAAUUGGGAGAAUCGAGUAGGGAAAUGAGAUUUUAGGAAAUGUUACAAAAGAUCAUCAAAUCGUCAC